GUAGAGCAGCGGUUUUGUAAACCGAAGGUCGGGAGUUCAAUCCUCUCAACCGGCACCA
rnacentral:tRNA from 1 species